rnacentral:tRNA from 1 species
GCUUAUGUAGCUUAAACUCAAAGCACAGUGCUGAAGACGCUGUUAUGGGACCUAGAAACCCCCGUAAGCA